rnacentral:sRNA from 1 species
GCUUGGUGUGGUGGUGCAUGCCUGUAAUUCCAGCGGCUUUGGAGGCUGAGGCAGGAGAAUUACAAGUUUAAAGCCAGCCUCAGCAAAAAUGAGGUGCUAAGCAAGUCAGUGAAACCCUGUCUCUA